AACGAACGCUGGCGGCAUGCCUAACACAUGCAAGUCGAACGAAGGCUUCGGCCUUAGUGGCGCACGGGUGCGUAACGCGUGGGAAUCUGCCCUUAGGUUCGGAAUAACAGUUAGAAAUGACUGCUAAUACCGGAUGAUGACGUAAGUCCAAAGAUUUAUCGCCUGAGGAUGAGCCCGCGUAGGAUUAGCUAGUUGGUGGGGUAAAGGCGCACCAAGGCGACGAUCCUUAGCUGGUCUGAGAGGAUGAUCAGCCACACUGGGACUGAGACACGGCCCAGACUCCUACGGGAGGCAGCAGUGGGGAAUAUUGGACAAUGGGCGCAAGCCUGAUCCAGCAAUGCCGCGUGAGUGAUGAAGGCCUUAGGGUUGUAAAGCUCUUUUACCCGUGAUGAUAAUGACAGUAGCGGGAGAAUAAGCCCCGGCUAACUCCGUG
rnacentral:rRNA from 1 species